GACGCUAUAGCCAAGUGGUUAAAGGCGACAGAGUAGUAUCGGUUUCAUCGUCUGUGUCACUGAUCAGUCUGUACCUCUCAGAGGGCGCAGGUUCAAAUCCUGCUGGCGUCA